rnacentral:rRNA from 1 species
GAUGAACGCUAGCUACAGGCUUAACACAUGCAAGUCGAGGGACCGGCGCACGGGUGAGUAACACGUAUCCAACCUGCCCUUUACUCGGGGAUAGCCUUUCGAAAGAAAGAUUAAUACCCGAUAUAAAGGAUGGGGAUGCGUUCCAUUAGGUUGUUGGUGAGGUAACGGCUCACCAAGCCUUCGAUGGAUAGGGGGUCUGAGAGGACGGUCCCACAGAUUGGAACUGAGACACAGUCCAUGCUCCUACGAAGGACAGCAGUGAAGAAUAUUGGUCAAGGGGCGCUAGCCUGAACCAGCCAAGUAGCGUGAAGAAUGAAGGCUUAUGAGUCGUAAACUUCUUUUAUAUAAGAAUAUGUAUUAUAUGAAUAAGGAUCGGCUAACUCCGUGCCAGCAGCCGCGGUAAUAC